GCCCGGGUCGAGGAACGGGGUCGAGGGUCGCGGGUCGACACCCCUCCGGAACGAGGUUCGACGAGGGCUAUACAUCAUCGGGACGCUAAUCUGGAACGCGGGUCGUGAUCCAAAGGUUUUCGGAUCGAUGACCCUGGUACGAUGCAUGGAUGCCAUGGAGGAAAGAAAGAUCUUUACGAUUUGCAACGAUGUAUUUCCCAAUAUUAAGUAGGGAAAGAAAUCCCGCCUGAUACUUCACAAAAUAAAAAUAAGAAAAAGAUUACAAAAUGAGGCCACCGGCCCACCCGUCAGCCCUCAUGGCUGAUUUUUCUCAAUCUGCCAUUAUUAGUUUCCCACGAAGCGUUUGGUGGCACAACUAUCACCAAAUCCCACUUCGUCCUCUUUAUCGGUUCAUCUUCAAACCUCCAGAUCGGCAUGGAUUCAUCUUCAAGCCUCCCACCAUCAGCCUCCACAGCUCCACGCUCUCCUGUUUGCCCUUCCCACUAUUCUACUGCUCGUACUUCACUAAUCGGCGUCGGAAUCUCAAGCGCUCGCCCCUCGCAUAAGGUCAUACCAAUGGCGGUGGCGGGAGUACGGGACGGGGGAUGCUGCAUACCGCAGUGCUCAGCUUGAAUUCUGCAGGCGAGCAGCGGACCGCGGAAGGUCGAACUCCGGCAGGCCAGCAGAGUUCAGUAUUUUGUAGUGCGAUUGCCUGGUAAGCAUCGAUUCCCCAUGACCUCGUACAUGUUUCUCGCUAAUCUUGCAUUCUGGCUUCUUGCAAUCACGCAUAUCAAUCUGGGUCAGUGGUUAUCGAUCGGGGUCGUGAACCGGCAAUCAAUCCAAUUCGACCCGUCCUCGUCCCCGACCCUCGAUCGGGGUCGAUCGACCCCGGAACGGGGAUCGCACCCUCGACCCGCUAACCAGGCUACUAUGGUAAGAACUUAGAACUAACAAUUUAAGAUAGUACCAAUGCUCAGUGAACAUGUAGCUGUUGUAUUAGUUUCUUCUUUUCGCCCAUCGAUUUGCAGGUCACUAAACAGAAGCCUGCUGAGGUUUUCUCAAACUAAGGUCAAGUAUGCUCUUAGACUCCUUGAUAAUUAAUAUUAGUUGUGAUAAGUUCGUAUGUUUUUUUAUAUAUCUUGAAAUAAAAUAAGCAACUUGUUUUUUAAUGACUAAAAUGGUGUAAGUGGAAUUCAUCAUCUUAAAAAGUAUCUAGGAUAAUUCAUAUAUGUUAGAUAUCUUGAAUCCAGUAAGAGCUAAAACUCAUUAUGUUCUUUGUUGUGGCAUAUUGGAUUGGACAGGGUGCCGUUUUGUUCGAAAGAUUGGAUUGGUGGGGGUAUUUGGUUUUAUGAUGGCCAGGUUGGUCAAAAUCACAUGAUCUUUUUUAUAUUGUGAGAAGAAAAAGACACCAGAACAGGCUAAAUGUUUGCAGACAGGGGAAACUGUUGCUAUUAGGAUGGUUUUUCAGGAUAAGCACUACAAGAACCGUGAGCUUCAGAUCAAACACCUACUUGACCACCCAAAUGUCUUAGGUCUAAAGCAUGGUUUCUUUUCCAAAACUGAGAAGGAUGAGCUCUUUAUGAACUUGGUUCUGGAGUAUGUACAUCACAUUCUCGCGCUACAUCCUUAACUCUCGCCCGAGCCGUGGCGCUGUCGCAACCUUUGCAAAUACUCUGAUAACUAGGUGGUGAUCAAUUGUUGAUGGCUCUCCGUAGUGGCUUGGUGGUGGGAAGGAAUAGGGCGGUGGAGGCAAGGCAGAGAGUGGGUGCUUCCCGCACUCGCCUGGCUAUCCGUGAUGCAUCUAAUAUGUUAGCAGUACCACGACACGACAUUGGCAGUGGCAUCUUGGGGGAAGAAGGGGAUGACAAUGGCUUAGAGAGGAAGAUCACAAUGACAACUUGCAGCCUAAUAGGCUGACAAUGCCACCGUGGAUACUCUCCUGCACUAGCUAUUCAGGGGCGGAUCUAGAUUGGAAAUUACCCGGUGUCCACGUAGAAGAAUGCAUGCCUACAUAUCAAAUAAUUCAAUGAUCUACACGCUGAAUCAAUGGAUUACAUUAAGCAAGUUCAAAUUGGACCCGGUGCCGGUGACACCGGCUACACUACAUAGCUACGCCCCUGGCAUCACAGUUGUGAUUUGGACAAGUUCCAUUUAAAUAAAUUAUAAAUUCUUAAUGAUUUAUUUCGAUAUGCUUACAUGCUUACCGAUUUUGUGAUUAUUCAUCAUUUAGUUUUGUCCAUACUUGGUUUCUAGCACACGCUACCACAAUUGUUUUACAGUUUUUGGUAUUACUGCCCUUCUUUCAUCGAUUCAUGAACUGUUAUGGUGGUUACCACUCCCUCCUGUCAUGCAACUUAGUGAUUUCAUUCUAGCUGGCCAGCCUACAGCAGUGCAGAUGACCAUACAAUUCAUUCCAUGUUAAUUUGUAAGAUUAAUGUACUCCCUAUGUUCCUAAAUAUAAGUCUUUGUAGAUAUUUCACUAUGGACAACAUAUGGAGCAAAAUGAGUGAAUCUACACUCUAAUAUGCAUCUAUAUACAUCCGUAUGUGGUCCAUAGUGGAAUCUCUACAAAGACUUAUAUUUAGUAACAGAGGGAGUAGUUCACAACAUAUUACCUGAAUUAGUAGAAACAACAACCCACAUGGUAUAUCAAUUUUCCAUGUUUUCCUCGUACUGUGGGUAUUGUAGCAGCAGUUGAAACUAAUGUUAGCUUGUCAUUCUGGAUAUUGUAUACGUUGACAUUGAACUUGAGAGUGGUAAGUGUUCUCUGAGUGACAAAAAGAAGUCAGCACAACAAGAGAAGUCGGAGAAGCAAUCGAAGAAAGGAUGAAAACAAAAGAAAGAGAAAGUUGUAUCUGUUCCUGAAAGGAGAACAAUGGAUUACUUAAUGAACAUUGGUUUGUUUUUGCUUCAGGAGAACACUGGAUGUUCAUCUGAGUCUGCCAUGGCCACCAGUAGCGAUAACAAAGUUGCUGGUAUGGAGAUGCUGUCAUGUAUGCUAUGAUCCAGACUGCCUUCCCUGACUUUUGAAACAACUUGUGAUGUAAUGUAUCAUCUACCUGGCUAUUAAGUUGAGUGCUACUCCCCGACAGUCACAUGUAAUGGAUUUUAUUUUCUUAUGUUAUUUAUGAAUAGCUCCU